rnacentral:rRNA from 1 species
UACGGAGGAUGCGAGCGUUAUCCGGAUUUAUUGGGUUUAAAGGGUCCGUAGGCGGACAUAUAAGUCAGUGGUGAAAUCCGACAGCUUAACUGUCGAACUGCCUUUGAAACUGUAUGUCUUGAGUAAGAUUGAAACAGCUGGAAUGUGUGGUGUAGCGGUGAAAUGCAUAGAUAUCACACAGAACGCCGAUAGCGUAGGCAGGUUGCUAAGUCUUUACUGACGCUGAUGGACGAAAGCGUGGGGAGCAAACAGG